CCUACGGGUGGCAGCAGUGGGGAAUAUUGCACAAUGGGGGGAACCCUGAUGCAGCGACGCCGCGUGAGUGAAGAAGUAUUUCGGUAUGUAAAGCUCUAUCAGCAGGGAAGAAGAUGACGGUAUCUGACUAAGAAGCACCGGCUAACUACGUGCCAGCAGCCGCGGUAAUACGUAGGGGGCAAGCUUUAUCCGGAUUGACUGGGUGUAAAGGGAGCGUAGACGGCUGGGCAAGACUGGAGUGAAAGCCCGGGGCCAAACCCCGAGACUGCUUGGGAAACUGCUAUGCUCGAGUGCUGGAGAGGUAAGCGGAAUUCCUAGUGUAGCAGUGAAAUCCGUAGAUAUUAGGAGGAACACCAGUGGCGAAGGCAGCUUACUGGGCCGUUACUGACGUUGAGGCUCGAAAGCGUAGGGAGCAAACGGGAUUAGAUACCCCGGUAGUC
rnacentral:rRNA from 1 species